GCGAUGGGCCUCCCGGGCGCCAUUUUGUACGAUGCUCUUUCCCAUUUUAGGCGGGGAGGAAGGGAGCGGGAGUGGUCGCUGCGUCUCCCGGGGGGCUCUGCCUCGUCUCGGGCUAGGGGAUGGGCUCCGUGGGACUUCCUCCUUCCGGCUGAAGGCUCCGUCUUCUCUCCUGGCCGGAGGCGAUGGUGGCCGUAGCGAGCGGAAUAGCCAGAGUGCAGCUUUCCUUUACACCCCUGCUGGUUCCAUUGGCUGGGAACAGCGAACUGCGGCCACAGAGGGCUGAGGGGCUCCAUGCCUGCAGAUGCUCCAGCAGAAGCCCUGGCUACCUGUUGAUAUCACCAUUGGUAUCUGAGACUACAUGGACUGUUUAGGAAGUUCUUGAUGCAUUGGUCAUCCAGUGGAAUAAAAUAACUUCUAUAGAGGGUCUACUUGUAUUAUGAUUACAACAAAAGUACUUCAGACUGUUUAGCCAAUCAGACCACCUAAUUGAACAUUUUGACACUACUUAAAAAGAUGACAUCUGGUAUAAUGGAAUGAAGAUUUCUUUCACUGAGUGCUUUGCAUUGUGUGGCAAGCGUGCAUUCUAGUGGAGCCUGAAAACCACCUCCUUUGAACCUCGAGACAUCUGUGCCACUGGAAUUGGCAUCUUCCUACAAAACAUGAGCAUCAACUAAGCUCUUUUUUCAGACCAAUCUGCUUGCUCUCCAUGUCUUCCUCUUUUUGAUUCCUGUACCAUAGUGACUCUAAAUCUAAACAUUGGAUAUUCUUCUCUGAUGCCUUAGGACAAAAUAUAAGAACAGCAUUGCAAGGAGAAACAUGCCUGCUGUACAAGACUUGAACCUACAUUGUUGAAUGCACACGUGAUCGGCUGAAGAUGCCACUGGAUUACUUUAUCUUUUUAUUCUUCCUUCUAAAGUUUCAGGUAAUUGUUUCUGAAUCACUUUAAUCUAAAAACCCCAGGCUAGAUUUGCCUCAUAACUAAUUACUUAAAAUAAUACACUUCUAGUUGCCAAAACACUAGACAAAGUGAACUUUGUGCAGUUUAUUCUAUUCUGGACUUGUAAAAUGGAGUUUUGAACCUACUAAAUAAAAUUAUAUUGUUUACCUUA